rnacentral:lncRNA from 1 species
CAUCUAUUCAGCUCUUCAUUCAGCAAACAUUCAUCAGGACCUCGGAUAUGCCAGGCACCAUGCCAGUCGCCAAGGAUCUAGCACUUAUUUUCCACAACUCAGCAACCAGUUGGGCUGCUUCCCUCUGACGCACUUGCUUCUCAUCCGGGGAGCGGGGAGUCUCCGUCUUCACAAAUGAGAAAACAGGCUUUAAGAAGAUAACUCACUGGCCUAAGUCAAGUGGCCGAGCUGGGAUUUGAACCCUAAGCCUUUGAGAAGCCAAAGUCCCUUCUUCAGCUGGGUGGUCAUGGAGUCACCUGAAUAUCUCAUCAGAAGAUGGCUUCUGAGAGUCUGUCCUAUCCCAAUGGCCCCAACAAGAUACAUAUAGACCUUAGAUUAUUGCUACCUGCGUGGAUUCAAAUGACCAAGGCACAACAAUGAGGGGAAUCCAAGCAAUGCCAGCCCAGGUGGUUGGGUCCUCAGGGCCCAAACACUUGACUCUCACCUGUCUCCACACUUGGUCUGCUGUGUGACUCAGAAAACACCUGCCCAUCCUCUCUGGGCCAGGCCACAGGCAAUGCCCUCCAAAAAGAGGUCAGCAAAGUGUGAGAUUCAGAUAAUCUCAGAAGUCACCUGUUCAAAUAUGACUAUCAUAUAAAUACAGACCUCAGGAAGAAAAGUGAGAAAAACAAACUUCAUCCCCUUCCUCUCCGUGGCCCCUGCGGAACACCAGGACCCUUAGCUCUUGUAGGACAUGCCCCCCAGCCACUUCUGGGCUCUGACCCAUUGACCUGGUCCUAGGAAGCCUCCAAACCCCUAAGGAAAGGGCCGUGCCUCUCCAAGGCCAGGCUGGGCAGGGCAGAGCAGACAGUAGGUGAGGCUGGCGUGGCAGGUUCUGGGCUGUGUGGAGGGGAAUGGGUUUCCCUUCCUUCCCCUCCAAUCCAUGUCAAGCUAGGAAGCCCCCGCCCCUUUGCCUCACCAGGCUGAGCAGCUAAUCCUUUGCAAAAACAGCCCCUGGGAACAAGGGCAGAGACAAGCCCACCUCACAAAGCAGUUCACUUAUGAGAGGAUGUAUGUGAGGUGGUGUUGGCGUGGGGAGUGCUGGCUUCAUGACGGGGAUUCUCCUCUUGCCUGAGGUCUCUGUCUGUGGGCCCCAAAGGAGCCCCCUCUUGUUUGAACUCACUGGUGAAUUGGCUAAGAGCUUGUUGGGCCUUCUGGGGAGGGGGACACUUACUCAAAAUGCCAGGCCCAAUUUCUCUGGGCUCUUGCCUGAGGUACGGAGGGAGAAGGAGAGAAGGAAGUCCUGUCCUGGCCUGCUGGAUUGGGACAUGCCCCUCCCCUUUCCCUAAUAAUAUUUCCCUAACCUGGAGAGAACAGGCGGUGAGGAGAAAAGAACAGAGAGGACACAAAGAAACAGAAGAGGAAAGUCAUUGGGUUCUGGCUACAGUCCAACAUCAAUGCUGGAUGAGCCUGGGGCACCCUGGAGGGCCUCCGCUAGUUCUUACAGUUCAUGCACCCAUCUUCCAGAAAUCUGGGGAAAGAUUCUGAACCUUAGGAAUAGGCUGACACAGAGUAAAUGUUCAGAGAAUAUUUGUGGGUGGGUGGAUGGACAGACGGAUGGAUGGAUGGAUGGAUGGAUGGAUGGAUGGAUGGAUGAAUGCAUGGAAGAAGUUAAAGCUAGAUGAAUGUGAAUUGGGAAAUAAAUGAACAGAUGGAUAAGAUGUGUAGAUAAUGGAUAAGUGGGUGGUUGGAUGAUGAACAAAUGGAUGAAUGGAUGGAUGGGUAGAUGGAUGGGUAAAUGAAAUAAGUAAAAACUAGAUGAAUAUGAAUAAGGAAAUGGGUGGAUGGAUGGAUGGACAGAUAGUUGAAGAAAUGGGUAAAAGAAUUUUUAAAAGAAUGGAAGAAGAGAGAAAGAAAGGGUGAUACAUGGGAAGGAGAGAGGAAAGAGAAGGGAAGAGUAAGGAAGGAAGGAGACAGAUAGGCAGUAAGUAGGUGAGUGAGUGGAUUGCAAGGUAUGCUGAUAAAAGUUUAGCAACGGACUCUUCCAGGCACAAAAGCACUGGUUUGUAGCAUUUGAAAAUUUCACCCUAGUCAGUCUCAAGCUACCAAUGUGAAGAGCACUGGAAAGAGAUGCACACAGUCAGCUCUCCCAAGCCAGUGAGCCUGCUCCAACGCAUCGCUGGAGGACUAGUGCAUGAUCAAAGUGGAAGACAUAAGAGGGAGGAUAGAAAGAUGGAUGCUGGAGGAUGUCAGGGGAACAGGUUCAAGUGAUUCAAGGCAAAGGGAAGAUGAGGCAAAUUUCUCUCUUCCAAGAGGCUUUCCCUAACCCAAGCCCAGUGACCACUGCCCCCAUUCAACCCCUGUAACAUCUAUCCCUGCCUGUCCUACUCGGGAAGCAUUUAGCUCAGCCCACCUGGUGUUGUUAAUUAUUCAUUCAUUCACACAUACUUGUUGAGCAUCCUACCAUGGGCCAGGGUUAGGCAAGGGACUGAUCAUACGGACAGGAAGGAGUCCCAGAUCAUGCCCUUGGGGAGUUCAUAGUUUAGUGGGAGGAGAGAUCAGUAAGCAAAUCACUUGGAUUUGGCAUGAACAGUGAAUGAGAUAAAUGUGUGUGAGGGGCUUGGGCUGCUCAGAGGAGGGAGGAACCAGCAUGUGCUGAGAGAGGCUGGUCUCUCCAACCAGGAUGAGCAUGGCUCGCUUUCCAUGCACAUAAGUGGCCUCCCUGGCUACACAGAGACAGUGUUUGACUUGACUCAGCAGAUAUUUAUUCAGCUGAAUUCUCAGUGGGUGCUGGUUGACUGGUCUUUUGGUUCUCCUAGGCCAGGGUGCAGGGCCCCUCUUCCCUUGAGGGACUGCUCUACCCAAAUGCCUAGCAGAAGGUAGAGUCUCCUGGAGAUCCCAGAAGCCAAGAGCUGAAAAGAAGCAAACAAUUGUCCCUUCAGGGCUGGUCCCCAAGCCCUCGUCCCACCACCCCAACAUCCCUCCUGGAGCUGAACCAAAGAAGAGGAUUCCCACCCCUGGAGGUCUGAGGUCUGGAUGGGCACUGCACACCUCAUAGGAAGGUGAUCGCUCCCCAAGCUCCCCAGGCCCUCACUCAGGACCUGACUACAGGCAACCGCGUCUGCUGAGGUCCUGCCCCUCUCCAGCCUCAAACUCAGUUGCACAGGUUCCAUAAAGGGCAUUUCCUAAUGGCCCUCAGAGCCUAUGUGUCCUGUGCAACUUGGCAAAAAGCCCCCGAAGACCAUCAUCUGCACUGCUGUGGCAGAGAGGCCUCUUCACUUUUAAAGGCCUUGAAAGAAAGGGAGCCCGUGAAGUCCCCCACCCCAGUCACUCCUCCCACAUCUCACCCUGUUCUCCCUCUGGUCUAGCUUAAAGUCUUCCUGCUGCAAUGUUUCUCCCUAUACCAGGUGGUGGUGAGAUGUGACUGGCUGCCAGCCCCUGCCUCAUCCCUUGCAAGCUUUAGAAGGUAAGAAGAGCUGGCAGGUGUGGCUUCCAGAGAAGGAUUCCUAUGGAGCAGAGGCAACUUCUACCUCUUCCUGCUUGGCCCUGUCAGACCAGGCAUGCCUGAAAGCCCCCACAGAGUCCCUCCUCCCACACGCACCCGUGGGCCAACCCCAAGCCUCCUCCCAGGCUUCUCCCAUGAGGCACCUCAAAGCUGUUCCCUUCCUGGCAGCCUCCCUUGAUUCAGCAGGUGGAGCCACCUUCACUUACCUACUGUGUGGCCUGGGAACACCUGAUUCUGUCACCAAUCAUCUUUAGAUGAAAGAGGAAACCCCUUAAAAGGAGAAAACUUCUCAGGCUUCCUUGGAGUCCCAGGGUUGGGAGGGAGUGGUCAACCGGUCCAUCCCCUUGCCCCUGGGCAAGGCUAUAUCAAGAAAGUCUUUGAUGUAUCUUUUAAAGAACUAUAUAUUAUUUAAAAGGCCGGCAAGAAAAAAGAUUUCAUAGCUUCCCUCAGCCAUUCAUUUCAAGCUUUAGGACUGCUUGCUGCAGGAAGUUCUUCUUUCGGUCUAACAUAAAUACUCUAUAAAUGAAAGUGUACUGUUCAAUUGGAGUUAAGGAACUGAGCCUCUGGCCCUGCAAAAGGGAAGCUGUGAGGUAAUUGUUUCUGUGAGGGGAAGAGUCUGAUCCAGUCUUAAUGCUUACAUGGUUCUUUUGACUUCUUUUUUUUUUUUUUUUUUUGAGACAGGGUCUCACUCUAUUGCCCUGGCUGGAAUGCCUUGGUGUGAUCUCUCACUGCAACCUCCGCCUCCCAGGUUCAAGCUAUUCUCCCACCUCAGCCUCCCAGUGCCUGGGACUACAGGCCUGUGCCACCACGCCCAGCUAAUUUUUGUAUUUUUUGGUAGAGACGGGUUUCACUAUGUUGGCCAGGCUGGUCUUGAACCCCUGACCUCAAGUGAUCCACUGGCCUUGGCCUCCCAAAGUGCUGGGAUCAAGGCAUGAGCCACCGUGCCCCGUCUCUUUUGACUUCUUGGUGCCCUUGUCCUCUUUUCGUACCUCUAGCUGUAGACAGCAGCAAAAAGCCUAUGGCGGUUCAAAACUUUAUAGCAAUAAUAAAAUUUCUAAAGUCUAAUUUUCUCAUGCCUGUUAUCCUAAUACAACAGAAUUUGUCCUGAAAUUGGAAGGAUUUAGAUUAUAUAUUAGGAAGAACUCUAUAGAUGGAGCAGUACUGUUUCUGUGAUCAUAAAUUCCUUUCUUGGAAGCCCUUCAAAAAUAGGACUGAUUUCUACCUGCCCGGAGGGUUUCAGGUACCCUACCUGGGAGGGGAGGGGAAGUAAAAGGAAAAGACAUUUGUGGCACCUCUCCAGGGGGCUGGGCAUGGUCCCAGCCCUAGUGUACAGAGAAUAAGAAGAUACUGUCCUCACCCUCAAGGGCUGUUAGUUCACUGGGUCCCUUAGGAUUCAAGCAACAGUCCUCUUGCUCCUACCCUUGGCUCCUUCUAAGGUAGGAGACCACCCCUCAUAUUGUCUUAUGCCCAAUUUCUGCCUCCAAAGAAAGAAAAAGUAAAAACUAAAAGGCAGAAAUGAAAUCCACAAGCAGACAGCCCGGCGCCACACCGUGGGCCUGGUAGUUAAAGACAUAACCUAAUCGGUUAGAUAACAUAACCUAAUUGGUUAUGUUAUCUAUAGAUUACAGACAUUGUAUAGAAAAGCACUGUGAAAAUCCCUGUCCUGUUCUGUUCCAUUCUAAUUACCGGUGCAUGCAUCCCCCAGUCACGUACACCCUGCUUGCUCAAUCGAUCACGACCCUUUCACGCAGACCCCCUUAGAGUUGUAAGCCCUUAAAAGGGACCGGAAUUGCUCACUCGGGGAGCGUGGUUGUUGGAGAUGUGAGUCUUGCUGAAGCUCCCAGCCAAAUAAAGCCCUUCCUU